UACUCCUACGGGAGGCAGCAGUGGGGAAUUUUGGACAAUGGGGGCAACCCUGAUCCAGACAUGCCGCGUGAGUGAAGAAGGCCUUCGGGUUGUAAAGCUCUUUCGGCCGGGAAGAAAUCGCACAGGCUAAUACCCUGUGUGGAUGACGGUACCGGAAUAAGAAGCACCGGCUAACUACGUGCCAGCAGCCGCGGUAAUACGUAGGGUGCGAGCGUUAAUCGGAAUUACUGGGCGUAAAGCGUGCGCAGGCGGUUUGUUAAGAUAGGCGUGAAAUCCCCGGGCUCAACCUGGGAACUGCGUUUAUGACUGGCAGGCUAGAGUAUGGCAGAGGGGGGUGGAAUUCCACGUGUAGCAGUGAAAUGCGUAGAGAUGUGGAGGAACACCGAUGGCGAAGGCAGCCCCCUGGGCCAAUACUGACGCUCAUGCACGAAAGCGUGGGUAGCAAACAGGAUUAGAUACCCUGGUAGUCCACGCCCUAAACGAUGUCAACUAGGUGUUGGGUGGGUAAAACCAUUUAGUACCGGAGCUAACGCGUGAAGUUGACCGCCUGGGGAGUACGGCCGCAAGGUUAAAACUCAAAGGAAUGACGG
rnacentral:rRNA from 1 species